rnacentral:rRNA from 1 species
UACGUAGGGGGCUAGCGUUGCCCGGAAUCAUUGGGCGUAAAGCGCGUGUAGGCGGUUCGGUAAGUCCGCUGUGAAAGUCGGGGGCUCAACCCUCGGAUGCCGGUGGAUACUGUCGGACUAGAGUGCGGAAGAGGCGAGUGGAAUUCCUGGUGUAGCGGUGAAAUGCGCAGAUAUCAGGAGGAACACCGAUUGCGAAGGCAGCUCGCUGGGACGUUACUGACGCUGAGACGCGAAAGCGUGGGGAGCAAACAGG